AAACGGAGAUAAGUAGCGUGAAUUGCAGACGCUUUGAACGUUAAACUUUCAAACGCAUAUUGCGCCGUAGAAGUCCUACCCUGCGGCACAUCUGGUUGAGAGCUGUGAUCAAAAACAGCAGGACUAUGGCUGUAAUAGAAAUGGAUGGUGAAUCACGUGUUCGGCCUACCGCUUCUGGCUGAACGUGUUCUGCCAUAAUGCUAGCAACGGACAAUCGCACGAGAGAUUGCCUCCACACGGAUGAUCUAUUAGCUGAAGCAAUAGGUCUUGGUUACCGGAUAUCAUGCUUAUAUACACUGUUAUACAGCCAGUGGGCUUCAUACGUGCCUGGUAUCGAGAGUAUUCGCACUCCCAACCUCAACUCAAGUGUGACUUAA
rnacentral:misc_RNA from 1 species